rnacentral:rRNA from 1 species
CAGUAGCCGCGGUAAUACGUAGGUGGCAAGCGUUGUCCGGAAUUAUUGGGCGUAAAGGGCGCGUAGGUGGUUAUGUAAGUGAGAUGUGAAAUCCCCGGGCUCAACCUGGGAACUGCAUCUUAUACUGCGUAGCUGGAGUGCAGUAGAGGGUAGUGGAAUUUCCGGUGUAGCGGUGAAAUGCGUAGAUAUCGGAAGGAACACCAGUGGCGAAGGCGGCUACCUGGACUGACACUGACACUGAGGCGCGAAAGCGUGGGGAGCAAACAGGAUUAGAUACCCCCGUAGUCCCUGUCUCUUAUAC